CCUACGGGGGGCUGCAGUGGGGAAUAUUGCGCAAUGGGCGAAAGCCUGACGCAGCGACGCCGCGUGAGGGAUGAAGGUCUUCGGAUCGUAAACCUCUGUCAGCAGGGAAGAACGGUCACUGUGCUAAUCAGCAGUGAAUUGACGGUACCUGCAAAGGAAGCACCGGCUAACUCCGUGCCAGCAGCCGCGGGAAUACGGAGGGUGCGAGCGUUAAUCGGAAUUACUGGGCGUAAAGCUCUCAUAGGCGGUAUGAAAAGUCAAGGGUAAAAUCCCCGCGCACAACGUGGGAACUGCCUUUGAAUGGGGAAAACUGGAGUGUGUGAGGAUAGUGGAAUUCCAGGUGUAGGAGUGAAAUCCGUAGAUAUCUGGAGGAACAUCAGUGGCGAAGGCGACUAUCUGGCACAUAACUGACGCUGAGGAGCGAAAGCGUGGGUAGCAAACAGGAUUAGAUACCCCUGUAGUC
rnacentral:rRNA from 1 species